CCCAGGCUGGUCUCGAACUCCUGAGCUCAAGUGAACCUCCUACCUCAGCCUCCCGAAGUGCUGGGAUUACAGGUGUGAGCCACCGCACCCAGGCCUAUAGCUUUUCUUUAGAAACAUAACUUUUUCUCUCUAUGUUGAUCAGAUGGGAAUCUCAGAUUUAAUGGCCUCUUGAGGCUAAGAAGCCAAACCAAGGCAGGCUUUAGAUCUGACCUAUAGCCCUGAGGUUCCUGGGCCUGCCAGAUGGUGACAGUUUUUAUUUACUCUCGCUGUAAGGCUGAGACCUUUUUUUUGGGGGGGACGGAGUUUUGAUCUUGUUGCCCAGGCUGGAGCGCAAUGGGGCGAUGUUGGCUCACUGCAACCUCUGCCUCCCGGGUUCAAGCAGUUCUCCUGUCUCAGCCUCCCGGGUAGCUGGGAUUACAGGCGGCUGCCACCACGCCUAGCUAAUUUUAGUAUUUUUAGUAGAGAUGGGGUUUCACCAUGUUGGCCAGGCUGGUCUCAAACUCCUGACACCAGGUGAUCUUCCCACCUCGGCCUCCCAAAGUGCGGGGAUGACAGGGGUGAGCCAGCGCGGCCGGCCAGGCUUGGAACGCUUGAGGCACAUUCUCAGAGACACGAUUUCGGUCACAGCCUUGGUAAUAUGACUGGUGUUUUCAGUUGUAGCCUCCUCUGUCUGUCUUGGUGGCCUCACGCCGUGGGCUGUGAUGCCGGCUACGCUGCUUGGGUGGCCGAGGGUCUGAGCUGUGCGACGCCCAGCCUGGGUCUCUCCCGAGCUUUCCCACGUCCUGUCUGCUC
rnacentral:antisense_RNA from 1 species